UAAUGGCCGCCUCAAAUCAUGCUCAAAUCGCGUUCUAAAAAUAUUUGUUCGAAAGAAGAAAAGUGCUUAGUUUCUUGUUUUCUUUGAAUAUCAAGAAUUGUGUAGAAGGGAGAUAACUUGUGUCACAAAGAUUAGCUACAAAAUGCAAAUUUGAGCGUACGAUAAGCAGGGAAUUAACUAAAUAAAUGUGAAAGAAAAGUAAGCUUGACUGAACUUCACGACUUUUUCUACGGCAUUGGAGUUCUAUGACAGAACAAGUGUCAUGCUAGACAGGAUGGCCUUUGGUUCAAUGUCCUGCUAAAGAGAAUUAGGCCAAUAUAAUGUACACCUACCUGGAGCAACUAGUAGCCAACUACUUUCAAGUUUCAAUAGCCUGUCAUUGUCAUAAAAUUAAGAAAACAUUUAUUCUGCUCAUACCUGGACCACCUGGCCCGCCUGGUCAACCUGGAUUAAACAGACCAAUUGAACAUCCUUGGUUAUGAUGGACCUGCUGGAUCGCCUGGCCCUGUAGGAAUGAUUGGAAUGCCGGGUGCUUAAGGGGUUAUAACGGGAUGAAUGGUGUGAACGGUGUUAAUGGAAUGAAGGGAAAUCCUGGUCCAGCCGGAGCUAGUGGGAUUCCGGGGAAGAAUGGAUUACCCGGUACGGCGGGAGCACCUGGAGCAGCGGGCAGUGGAAGCUCAUCAUCCUCUUCUUCCAGCGGCGGUGGUGGAGGUGGUGGGACCAAUGGCACGGUUGGCGGCGGUUGCGGAGGCCGCUCUCUUGACUGGAAGCAUCAACAUCAAAUUGUUAAACGAGAAGAACCAGACCCCGAAGACUGUGAAGAGGAUCCUUGGUACUUUUCAUCAUUUCAUUCUCAUACCUCGAUGAUUGGGCAUAAAAUAAGAUCAUCAUCCGAGAAGAAUGAGCGGCCUCUUCCUCCGCCAUUGCUACCCCCUUCACCUCCACCGCCACUUGAAAGUCACGAGAAACAUUACGUAAAACUGGCAUGCUGUGGUGUAGAGGUUGGGUGAGAAUUACACGUGUUUCAUCAUUUUCAAAGCAGGUACAAUAGCCGCAAGGCUUAAGAGGAGGGGUGAGAAAAAGUCGUAGAAAAGGCGAGAGAAAAGGCGAACGAAAGUAUUCAAGUGAGCACCUUUGACAUGGAUGUAUAAAAGGAGAGAGAAAAUGUGAAAGAUAUCAGUCAAGAUCUCCGACGCGACAUCAACUGCAGCGCAUUAUUGGUCAACAGCUGCAUUCUUCAUUGUAUUAUCAGUUCGCAAUCAUGGUUACCAUCGAAAAAAUUGGAUGUUCACUUUCGAAGGUCACGGAGAUCAUUACGUAAAACUGUCAAUGCGGUGGUGUAGAGGUUGGGUGAGAACGGGAAGUGUUUGCUUCAUUAUCAAACAG